UAUUGCUCUAUCUAUUUGGUUGCCUAGCAAUUUGAAUUUGAGACAGAUGUCUAUUAGCUUAUUCUCAUCGGGGCUUUUCAUUUAUUGUUCCGCAAUAUUGUUGCAUGCUUUAUAAUUUCAGUUAUUAAGAAAUUUCCUUCAACUCAUAACCUUAGC